rnacentral:misc_RNA from 1 species
UUGAAAGAAGGAAGGAAGCCUAUACCAGGCCCUCCUGGUGAUGAAGGAGAUACUUCAGAGUUUACCAGUGUACCAAGUAAUACCUAUGAUCUUCCAUCUAGUGGAACUGAUUCAUUCAUCAAACCUGAACCAGAAUCAGAUUCGUCCAAUCACAUGUAUGACAGUGCACCAUUACCUGCAAGACCGUCUCCUCCAGCAACCACCCCACCACCACCUCAUUCACACAUCCCUCCAUCGCCUUCGGCAUCGACCACACAGUCACCUCCUUCACAUUUCCCUCCAUCACCUCCUUCCUAUCCUAGUGGUGAGUAUCCUUCUCAUAAUUUUCAGCAGCCUCCACCCGGUGAUGCAUCUGAAAAUUCUUCUUACUCCCAGCCGUAUCACCAUCAACCUUAUACGCAAGAACCACAGUCGCACUUGUCGCAGCCGCACUACCCUUCACAAUACCCCAAUUUCCAGUCGUAUCCUAGCUUUUCCGAGAGUAGUCUUCCUUCUGCACCAUCGCAUUACCCUUCUUACUACCAAGGUGCGGAUGCUUCGUAUUCCACAUUGCCUCCAUCUAACACUGCAAACUAUCCAUCAAGCGCUCAAUACAACUCAAAUGAC